UUUAUGGAGAGUUUGAUCCUGGCUCAGGACGAACGCUGGCGGCGUGCCUAAUACAUGCAAGUCGAGCGAACAGAAAAGGAGCUUGCUCCUUUGACGUUAGCGGCGGACGGGUGAGUAACACGUGGGCAACCUACCUUAUAGUUUGGGAUAACUCCGGGAAACCGGGGCUAAUACCGAAUAAUCUAUUUUACUUCAUGGUGAAAUACUGAAAGACGGUUUCGGCUGUCGCUAUAAGAUGGGCCCGCGGCGCAUUAGCUAGUUGGUGAGGUAACGGCUCACCAAGGCGACGAUGCGUAGCCGACCUGAGAGGGGGAUCGGCCACACUGGGACUGAGACACGGCCCAGACUCCUACGGGAGGCAGCAGUAGGGAAUCUUCCACAAUGGGCGAAAGCCUGAUGGAGCAACGCCGCGUGAGUGAAGAAGGUUUUCGGAUCGUAAAACUCUGUUGUAAGGGAAGAACAAGUACAGUAGUAACUGGCUGUACCUUGACGGUACCUUAUUAGAAAGCCACGGCUAACUACGUGCCAGCAGCCGCGGUAAUACGUAGGUGGCAAGCGUUGUCCGGAAUUAUUGGGCGUAAAGCGCGCGCAGGCGGUCCUUUAAGUCUGAUGUGAAAGCCCACGGCUCAACCGUGGAGGGUCAUUGGAA
rnacentral:rRNA from 1 species